AGAAUAUCUGGAAGCUAAGAAGCAAAAUAUGGGAGACAGACCACACUAAGGGAUGGAGCUGAUGGAGGUGGGUGUGAAAUACCUUUUGACCAAGGCUGUAAUGUGGACUUGAUGGCUAGAGCAGCUGGCAACUCAGACCCAGAGAGGCCUUUGCGUAUGACGGGUAGAGGACGGUGGAGCAUGAGGGUAGAAACACGGGUUCCACUUGAUACCGGAGGAGCUACCGUACCAGAAACAUGCCAUGGAUGGCUUACUAACAAGGACUGUUUCUGCGAUCUCAUGUCCACAAGUUUUGGGUUGGAGCUUGACGCUAGCAGAAUGCAUUCAACUUGAAUAAACAAACACAUUUAAAUCAGAAAAGUUCAUUCGACCAAAUCAGGAGACAAAAAAGUUCAGCUACAUCGCCAUCAAAGCUUCCCACCUCUCUCUCCUUUCUUUUACAAUUUUCUCUCUUAAAUAAAAGAACAGAAAAGCCGGGU
rnacentral:lncRNA from 10 species